GGCGUCCUACGGGGGGCAGCAGUGGGGAAUAUUGCACAAUGGGGGGAACCCUGAUGCAGCGACGCCGCGUGGGCGAUGGAGUAUUUCGGUAUGUAAAGCCCUAUCGGCAGGGAAGAAGCUGACAGUACCUGACUAAGAAGCCCCGGCUAACUACGUGCCAGCAGCCGAGGUAAUACGUAGGGGGCAAGCGUUAUCCGGAUUCACUGGGCGUAAAGGGAGCGCAGGCGGCACGGCAAGGCUGGAGUUAAAACCCGGG
rnacentral:rRNA from 1 species